GACGAACGCUGGCGGCGCGCUUAACACAUGCAAGUCGAACGGAAAGGCCUGCUUUCCCUUGUGGAUUGCGGGUACUCGAGUGGCGAACGGGUGAGUAACACGUGAGUGAUCUGCCCCCAACUUGGGUAUAAGCCUGGGAAACUGGGUCUAAUUCCCGAUAGGACUGCAGGGUGGUGCCUGUGGUGGAAAACGAUUUUCUAGUGGUUGGGGAUGAGCUCGCGGCCUAUCAGCUUGUUGGUGGGGUAAUGGCCUACCAAGGCGGCGACGGGUAGCCGGCCUGGGAGGGUGGACGGCCCCAUUGGGACUGAGAUACGGCCCAGACUCCUACGGGAGGCAGCAGUGGGGAAGAUUACACAAUGGGCGGAAGCCUGAUGCAGCGACGCCGCGUGGGGGAUGACGGCCUUCGGGUUGUAAACUCCUUUCGACCGCGAGGAAGCCACCUGGUUGGAAGGGUGGUGACGGUAGUGGUAGAAGAAGCACCGGCUAACUACGUG
rnacentral:rRNA from 1 species